rnacentral:lncRNA from 1 species
AUGUUAUUAAUGCUGCUCCUUUCUUGAGGUUAAGGUACUGCUACUGUCUCACAAGAGUGAAGAAACCAAGGGCAGAAUUGUACCACGUAUUAGCACAAUUGUCUGAGUGAAGUAACAAUUGCAGAAGACAAUUGCGUGCCCCGGCUCAUGCACCAUGAAAGGUAAGGUUAAAAUGAAGUUUUCUCUAUGCUAUUGGAGAAGAUAUUACAUUCUGCAUAUCUAACCAUUUUUGAACUUGGAGAGCUGAGAUUAUACCAAUCAAUACUGAAAAUAUCCCAGGGACCUGAAAAGUAUUGCUGUGUAAUUAAGGCUUUACCUUAAGUCCAGUUGUGUAGGACUUUGAAAGAAGAAGAUUGUCAUCUUCAGAAAUUCUCAUAC